rnacentral:rRNA from 1 species
CGACUUCCGGUCAUCGCGAAUGCACCAGCAUGAUUAAUGAUCAUGGCUCAGAGUGACCGCUGGCGUAAGUGCCUAACACAUGCAAGUCGAACGGCAGCACAGGAGAGCUUGCUCUCUGGGUGGCGAGUGGCGGACGGGAGAGUGAAUACAUCGGAAUCUACUCUGUCGUGGGGGAUAACGUAGGGAAACUUACUGCUAAUUACCGCAUUACGACCUAACGGGUGAAAGCAUGGGUGAUCUUACGGACCUUGCGCGAUUGAAUGAAGCCGAUGUCGUGAUUAGCUAGUUGGCGGGGUAAAGGCCCACCAAAGGCGACGAUCCGUAGCUGGUCUGAGAGUGAUGAUCAGCCACACUGGAACUGAGACACGGAUCCAGACUCCUACGUGGAGGCAGCAGUGGGGAAUAUUGGACAACUGGGCUGCAACGCCUGAUCCAUGCCAUACCGCGUGGGAGAAGAAGUGCCUUCGNGGUUGUAAAGACCUUU